CGGACGGGUGAGUAACACGUGGAUAACUUACCUAUAAGACUGGGAUAGCUUGGGAAACCGGAGCUAAUACCGGAUAAUAUAUUGAACCGCAUGGUUCAAUAGUGAAAGACGGUUUUGCUGUCACUUAUAGAUGGAUCCGCGCCGCAUUAGCUAGUUGGUAAGGUAACGGCUUACCAAGGCAACGAUGCGUAGCCGACCUGAGAGGGUGAUCGGCCACACUGGAACUGAGACACGGUCCAGACUCCUACGGGAGGCAGCAGCC
rnacentral:rRNA from 1 species